CAUUUAGAUCAGGAUGUAGAACUCCCAGCUGCCUCUGCAGCACCAUGCCUGCCUGCACACUGCCAUAUUUCCCACCAUGAUGAUAAUGGACUGAACCUCUGAAAUGGUAUAUUUGUGUAUGAAUACAUGCACAUGAGUGUCCAUGGAAAACAGAAGAGGACAUCAGAUACCCUGGAACUGGGAUUAUGCACAGCAUGGUCAUGUGAACAGUGCUCUUCCUCACUGAAUCAUCUCGAUGCCCACUGAUACAAGACACUAAUGAGGGAAACAGUGGGACAGCAUACAAGAACUCUGCUUUUUCUUCCCUCAAAACCUAAAACUGCUCUUUAAAAAAAGAAAAUAGCCGGGUGUGGUGGCGCACACCUUUAAUCCCAGCACUCGGGAGGCAGAGGCAGGCGGAUUUCUGAGUUCGAGGCCAGCCUGGUCUACANNNNNNNNNNNNNNNNNNNNNNNNNNAAAAAAAAAAAAAAAAAGUAAAUGAUGGGGCUGGAGAGAUGGCUCAGAGGUUAAGAGCACUGACUGCUCCUCCAGAGGACCUGAGUUCAAAUCCCAGCAACCACAUGGUUACUCACAACCAUCUGUAAUAAGAUCUGACACCCUCUUCUGGUGUGUCUGAAGACAGCUACAGUGUACUUAUA
ensembl:antisense Gm21917 predicted gene, 21917